UACAGAGGGUGCGAGCGUUAAUCGGAAUUACUGGGCGUAAAGCGCGCGUAGGCGGCUUUGCAAGUCGGGUGUGAAAUCCCCAGGCUUAACCUGGGAACUGCAUUCGAGACUGCAUUGCUAGAGUAUGGGAGAGGGAAGUGGAAUUUCCGGUGUAGCGGUGAAAUGCGUAGAUAUUUGGAGGAACACCAGUGGCGAAAGCGGCUUUCUGGGACAUUCCUGACGCUGAGGUUCGAAAGCUCGGGGAGCAAACAGG
rnacentral:rRNA from 1 species